rnacentral:lncRNA from 1 species
AUGGUCUCCCAGUGCAUCAAAGCUGCCAUGGAGAUGAGGAUGCUGAGAGUGAGACAGGUGGAGAUCUCCAUGGACUCUUCUUCUUUAUACAGCUUCACAGAGACACAAAGACAGGACCUGACUGGAGAAGUCAGAGACGUUCUUUCAUUAUCAUUACACAUGGAGCCAGAGGAGAGGGCGUCCUCUCUCAGUCCUUCAGACUAUCUGCUGGAUAUAAACAAGGUUCUGCUGGCCUUGGCCGACAACGAACUGCUGCUCAACUCUUUCGAGCUCAGCAGUGGUCUCUACAAUGACUUCUCCAGCCAGGGGGUGGAGGGUGAGAGAGAGAUGAGGGGAGAUAUUGGAAGAGUAUAAAGGAGAGUCUGGAGUAUGUCCGGGAGCAGGUGACGUUGAUCCAUGAGCGCCAUCCUGGAGGCAUCGCAGAGAUAGGUGGCACAGAUCAGAGACACCCUCACCCAGCUCAAACCAGAGUGGGACCGCCUAAACUGCAUGUACAAGCACCGCAAAGGGAGUUUUGACUGUGCAGUGGAGGAGUGGAGACAGUUCCACUGUGACUUGAACGACCUAAGUCAGUGGAUGACCGACACGGAACAGGUCCUCACUAAGGGAAAAGGACCUGAUGGACAACUGCACCCGGACACAGCCAGGACACACCAGGAGGCUGACUGGAAGUGACCCUGCCCUAUUAGAGCUGGUGAGGUAGUGGAGACCUGGCUCUGUGGCUGGAGCAGGCUGAAUGUGCUGUGAGCUCUCUGCCCGUCACUGCCACCAACAGCAACCUCAAAGAACUUAAGACUCUGGCUGAAGAGAUGGACAUCCAGAAUGAGUGUCUUGGUUGGCUGAACAAGAACGGCCCCCAGAUUCUAGCCAAUCAGAGCGUGAGUCAUCAGGAGAGAGACAAGCACAUGAGCAAACUCAGGACCAUCAAUCUCAACUGGAACAAGAUAAAGUCGGUGGAGGCGGAGGGGAACCUCCAGAGUCAUGGUCAGUUCCAGGACAAGAUUAACAGAAUGACCGACUGCGUCCAGGUCACACACCAGACCUCAGUGGGAGAGGGGUCAGCCCUGCAGAGAGCCAG